UCCUAAACAAACUCUAUGUCUAGAUGAAUGUUCAUUUACUUAACACAAUUCAAACAUCAAAUGUCUUUGGUUGAAUAAUAUGAAAGCAAUCAUAACUAGCGAGUCCAAUGGCUAUCUUAGCACCUCUAACAACAAAUGUCUUUGGCAAAGUAUGCUAAAAGCUAAGAAGAGUUGUCUCGGGCAUUUCCUCGAACACCUUUCGGGGGGAAAUGCCUAAGGCUCAACUACUGAGUGGCCAACUCAGAAGAUGCAUUAUGCUCACUCAACUAGCAAGGAAAUAUGAAUGAUCUACGCUAAAACAUCCUAGUUCUAACCUAAUCACCCUCAAUCUCCCUAACCCAUGAAUUCAAAAGGUGAUUACUCACUAAUCUCCAUGAUUCCUCUUAAACCUAUGUUGGAUUUCAGAUUAAUCAUGUAGAGAAACUCAGGAAAAAUAGAUAAGAACACAGAAUUCUCAAUAAUAAACUGAUCAAUUGAUUCAAAGAGAUGACUUUCCAAAGGUUUUUGGUGGUUUUUCUAAGAACAAAAAGAUAAUCCCCUCUUGGUGGCUUACAGAGUAUUAAAACAUAGGUUUUCAGAAUAAAAAACGUGCAUAAUAAAAUGACAAAAAGGCCCUUGAGAAAACAUGAAUUCGAGCAGAUAGGCGACGCGCAGCGACCUCGGCAAGUCGCUCCAGCACGUCGCUCUGGGCUUCGGGAGCGACCUCAGGGUGUCGCUGCGAGAGGUCGCUCCGGCUUCAGUUUUGAGCUCUGUUUCGUCAAAAGAGCGAGCGACUUCAGGACGUCGCUCCAACGUGGUCGCUCCGAGAGGUAAGGCACAGCGACUUCAUCGUGUCGCUGCGGUUAGGUCGCUCCGGUGUGUUGCUCGUCCGCUGAUCACUUUAAACACUUCUUUUGAGCUCCAAAUGCACCCAAACGUCUCCAAGAACUCCAUGUGAUACUCCAAUACCUGAUAAGGACUCAUGUAUGCAAAAUGCAACCUAAACAUGACUAAAUCCUAAUCUAUAUGAUCAAAAUGCAUAUGGAUGGAUGGAUAAAACAAUGGAAAUAUGCAUGAUAUCAAGUGCGUUCGUUUGUUCGACAUAUUCAUUGUAAGGCAAAAAACACUAAGAACAAAAUAAUAAGUAUCAGUAGACUAAUAAAAUCGACUUAGUAAUAGUAAUAAGAAUAAUAAAAUCGACAUAUUCAUUGUCAUAAAAAAACUAGAAAGAACAAAAUACUAAGAACCAGUAGACUGAUUCCAUUCAUUUUUAGCUUUUUAAUUUUCCGAAAGCAAUAGAAUGCUUCCUAAACAACCUAUUCCAAGGGAAUUUUUCUGCUUCCUAAUUUCUUCUUCCAUUGUCAUUUUCAUACUCCUUUUCGGAUCUUCAAUCUCUUCUACAAUUUUCCCUUGCUCCGCCUCUACCCUUCAAAUCUCAUCAAGCAAAACUUCAUCAACCCACUUAAAUAAAUGAUUUUCCUUCUUUCGGUACGUAGAAACGAAAAUCAAGUCAGGACAAAUCAAAUGGAAUGAAAAAACAGCAUGUUUGUCCUUCUUAAUCAAAAAUCGAAUCAGAGAAAAAAACAUCAAAGCCAUGAACGAAUCCAUAAACAAAACAAAUAGAAGAUAUGAUCACAGUAAUCAAUUCACCAAACUAAGACAAUUAACAAAUGUAAUUCUAUCAUUCUAAUUCAGUGUCCUAAUGUGAUAAACACGCAAAAGUUAGACAAAAACAUACUGUUAUUUUCAUUUAAUUCUAAGAAACAAAAUGAGGAACAUGCAAAGAGGAACCUGAGGAACACAAACCCAUGGCAACAAAUCAUUUGAGCAACAUGCAAACAUAAAGGUUGUCUAGGAUUGGAACGCACCAUUGGAACCAAAGAACGCAACAUGCAAAGAUAAAGGUUGCAAAGACAUGUUAUUCUUUACGAGAAACUGGAACCAGAGAACCGGAGGAGAGAGGCAGAGACAAGCAGAGAGGUGGAGAGAAGAGGAGAGGUGGAGAGGCGGAGGGAAGCGGAGAGGUGGAUAGAAGUGGAGAGAAGCGGAGAGGUGGAGAGAAGCGGAGAGGCGGAGAAGCUCGAGACCACCAUUGAUUUCACCGGAUAAAAAUAUUUUCAUGCUUUUGAAAUAGUUAAUAUUUAAUUAAAUAAUAUUUUUUAUAUACAAUAUUUAUUUUAAUAAAAUAUAUAUUUAUUACGUAAAAUAAAUUUGAAAACAUUCAUAUACACAUUAAACUAUACACAUGGAUUUAUAUUUAUUUUUAAAAUAUUCAAAAUAUUAUGAUGUAUAAAGAAUCUUUUUAGAUAAUGAUGAUUAUCAAAUUAAUGAACUUUUUUUUCAUUUACGGGUAAUUAUAUAUUAAAAAAUCUAACCUAAUUCUUUACUAAGGGUAAUAAAAACUUUAAACGAUUUAAGUUUUAACGUGAGAACGAAAAAAAUCACAAUGAU